UACGAAGGGGGCUAGCGUUGCUCGGAAUCACUGGGGGUAAAGCGCACGUAGGCGGAUCUUUAAGUCGGGGGUGAAAUCCUGGAGCUCAACUCCAGAACUGCCUUCGAUACUGUAGAUCUUGAGUCCGGGAGAGGUGAGUGGAACUGCGAGUGUAGAGGUGAAAUUCGUAGAUAUUCGCAAGAACACCAGUGGCGAAGGCGGCUCACUGGCCCGGUACUGACGCUGAGGUGCGAAAGCGUGGGGAGCAAACAGG
rnacentral:rRNA from 1 species